rnacentral:rRNA from 1 species
GCUCUGAUUGUCAUGGCGAAGAGAUUCAGCCNAGCGCGGGUAAACGGCGGGAGUAACUAUGACUCUCUUAAGGUAGCCAAAUGCCUCGUCAACCAAUUAUUGACGCGCAUGAAUGGAUCAACGAGAUUCCUGCUGUCCCUAGGUGCUGUCCGGUGAACCAACAGCCNAGGNAACGGGNUNGGGNNUGNCACCGGNGNAAGAAGACCCUGUUGAGUUUGACUCUAGUUUGAUGCUGUGCAACGACAUGUGGGGUGUAGCAUAGGUGGGAGGCCCGCGCCAUGGGCACACGCACGACGGCCCUCGCCGCCGUGCGACGAAGAGCAGCAGGNAAGUUGUUCGUUGGAUUGUUUGUUCUGUGGAAGGAAGGCCAAUCGUAUCUCCUGGGUGACUAUGACCACCCAUCAUCCGGACGGUGACUAUGACCACCGUACCUCCAUCGCUCCGUCAGCAGGCAGGCAGGCACUGGUUUGAUCGUCGGUCGGCCUGGGUGGUGAUUAUUGAAGACCACACCACACCAGCCACCACCACGCUGUGGGCUCUCUUGUGUUUCGUGACGACCCUCUCGGUCGAGUCGAGUGAGGCAGACAGGUCUGUGAUGCAAAUGCAUCGUAUCGGCAACGCCUUGGCACAACGCAUGGAAGGAAGACCAUCACCAUUUGUGAUUGGGAAACGGACUGGACAUCAUGGCAAUCGGCACGGAUGGAGCAUGGGACAUCCACGGAUACCAUCGGCAUCGGCUCAGCGAGAUUCAUACAUUGGUGCAAACCAGCAGUGAAAUACCACUACCUUCACCGUCGUUUUACUCAUCGAGUGGCUUGGGAACAGCGGCCCAUUUACUUGGACAUCGGCCCUUGCUCUCACUGCGGGGGCCGCGGCCACAAUCUGCUUCGUGCGUGGAAGCGUCGC